UUAAUUUUUUUUUUUUUUUUUUCUAAUACUAUUUGCAAUAGGUCAACUAUAUUUGGUAUAUGGAAAUAUUUUUGAUGUACAUGUAAGUCUUGCAGGUUUUAUUUGACCUUGACCUCAUUUUUCAGUGUUGAGUUUUUGUGUUUUGGGCUGUUUAUCUUCAACUAUAAGCAUUAGGUCAACUAUAUUUGUUGUAUGGGAGGAUUGAAAGUUGAACAUGUCUACCUGGCCUAUUUUCAUAGUUAAUUGGUCAAUGUUUAGUUUUCUUGGUUAAUUCUGUUUCUUAGAACUAUAAGCAACAGGUCAGCUAUAUUAAGUGUAUUGAAUGAUUGUAAGGUGUACAUGUAUUUCUAGUUUGGUUUAAAUGACCUUGACCUCAUUUUCUU
rnacentral:lncRNA from 1 species